GUGGGGUAACGGCCCACCAAGGCUUCGACGGGUAGCGGGUCUGAGAGGAUGAUCCGUCACACUGGGACUGAGACACUGCCCAGACUCCUACGGGAGGCUGCAGUCGAGAAUCUUCCGCAAUGGGCGAAAGCCUGACGGAGCGACACCGCGUGCAGGAUGAAGGCCUUAGGGUUGUAAACUGCUGUCACGCAAUAGGAAUCCCAUAGUGUUAAUAGCGCUGCGGUUGACCAAAGCGAGAGGAAGUGCCGGCUAACUCCGUGCCAGCAGCCGCGGUAAGACGGAGGGCACAAACGUUGUUCGGAAUCACUGGGCAUAAAGCGCACGUAGGCGGCCUGCUAAGUCGGGUGUGAAAGCCCUCGGCUCAACCGGGGAACUGCAUUCGAUACUGGCAGGCUAGAGGACGGCAGGGGCAAGUGGAACUCCAGGUGGAACGGUGAAAUGUGUAGAUAUCUGGAGGAACACCGGUGGCGAAAGCGGCUUGCUGGGCCGUCUCUGACGCUGAGGUGCGAAAGCUAGGGUAGCAAACGGGAUUAGAUACCCCGGUAGUCCUAGCCGUAAACGAUGGGCACUAGGCAAUGGACCAUCCUAUGGGGUUCA
rnacentral:rRNA from 1 species